UCCUCGCCCUGCCAGGUCCCCGGGUCAAGCCCCAGGGAGUGCGAGUGGGAAAAACCACACUUCCCAGAGUGCACCGCAACCGCGAAGGCCUCACUACCGGCGUCCGCUCGCCGGCGCCAUUUCUGGAGAGGGGGACGGCGGUGCGGCCUGCCGUCAUGGCGCUGUUCCCGGCCUUUGCAGGCAUUGGUGAGACUUCCGGUAGCGGCAAUGCCAGGAAAGAAUUAGACUGGCUGAGCAACCCAAGCUUUUGUGCUGGAGCCAUAACCUCUCUGAGCCAACAAACUGAAGGGGCCACAGCCCUGGUUUCUGAAGGGUCACCUCUGACAAGGAGCCCUCUGAAAUCAGAGCCUUCGGAUGAAAGUGACACUAACAAAAAGCCCAAACAAACAAGCAGAAAAAAGAAGAAAGAGAAAAAGAAGAAAAGGAAGCAUCACCACAAGAAAACCAGGAGAAAACAUGGGAGGCCCAGUAGCAGUGGGUCUGAGCCAGAUAGUGAUUCUGAAAAGGAUAAAGCUUCCAGAAGCAUUAGAGACAGUAAAAAGGAAUCAGAGAAACCAAACCGAGAAGGGAACGCCGUCGCUGAUACUGGGCACCGCUGCGUCUGGCUUGAGGACGUUCAGGCUCUCACAGGGGAAACCUUCAGAACAGAUAAGAAACCGGAUCCUGCAAACUGGGAGUAUAAGUCUCUCUACCGAGGAGAUAUAGCAAGAUACAAGAGGAAAGGGGACUCCUGCCUUGGCAUUAACCCUAAGAAGCAGUGCAUAUCCUGGGAGGGGGCUGCCACAGAAAAGAAGCACUCACACAAGCAUGUCGAGCGCUAUUUCACGAAGAAGAGCGUGGGACUGAUGAACGUUGACGGAGUCGCUGUUGGCGGUAAAACCGAACCUCCCUCAUCUGAGCCGGUCUCAUUUAUCCCAGUGAAGGGCUCGGAUGAUGUGGUUCCUCCUGUUACGACCUGGUUGAACCCUCUGGGGAUUUACGAUCAGUCCACCACACAGUGGUUACAAGGACAGGGUCCUUCAGAGCAAGAAUCAAAGCGGCCAGACUCACAGACAGACAGAGAGCAUGCCCUGCUCAAGGCCAAGGUGGAGGAGUUUAACAGGAGAGUUCGGGAGAAUCCCAGGGAUAUUCAGCUGUGGAUGGCAUUUGUUGCUUUUCAGGACGAGGUCAUAAAGAGCCCUGGCCUGUAUGCCAUCGAGGAAGGAGAGCAGGAAAAGCGGAAGCGGUCUCUGAGGCUCGUUCUGGAGAAGAAGCUGGCCAUCCUGGAGCGGGCCAUCGAAAGCAACCAGAGCAGCGUGGACCUGAAACUCGCCAAGCUGAAGCUCUGCUCCGAGUUCUGGGAGCCCUCCGCCCUGGCCAAAGAGUGGCAGAAACUGAUCUUUCUGCAUCCCAACGAUACAGCCCUGUGGCAGAAAUACCUUUUAUUUUGCCAGAGCCAGUUUAGCACCUUUACAGUGUCAAAAAUUCACGGUCUGUACGGCAAGUGCUUGAGCACCUUGUCUGCCGUGAAGGACGGCAGCAUCUUAUCGCACCCCGCCCUGCCAGGCACCGAGGACGCCAUGUUUGGUCUCUUUCUUCAGCAGUGCCACUUCCUGCGGCAGGCUGGUCACUCUGAGAAGGCGGUCUCUCUGUUCCAGGCCAUGGUCGACUUCACCUUCUUCAAACCCGACAGUGUGAAAGACCUGCCCACCAAAGGACAGGUGGAAUUCUUUGAGCCCUUCUGGGACAGUGGGGAGCCCCGGGUUGGCGAGAAGGGCGCCCGAGGCUGGAGAGCGUGGAUGCACCAGCAGGAGCGGGGUGGCUGGGUGGUCAUCAGUCCAGAUGAUGAUGAUGAUGAGCCAGAAGAUGAGGACCAGGAAAUAAGAGAGAAGAGUCUGCCCAGGUGGCAGAUCUGGCUUGCCACCGAGCGGUCCCGAGACCAGAGGCACUGGCGGCCGUGGCGCCCUGAUAAGACCAAGAAGCAAACCGAGGAAGACUGUGAGGAUCCAGAGAGACAGGUGCUGUUUGAUGACAUUGCCCAGUCUAUGAUCCGUCUUUCCAGCCAGGAUCUUCAGUUUCAGCUGGUUGCGGCCUUUCUGCAGUUCCUGGGCGUGCCUUCUGGCCUCAGCCCUCCAGCCUCUUGCCUCUACCUGGCCAUGGAUGAGAACAGCAUCUUCGAUGACGGGCUUCAUGACGAAAUGCCACUGACUUUUCUCAACCUUUCCUCUUCUGGUGUCAGCUGUGUUGGCUGCUCAGACCCACUGGGCCGCCGGCGCUGGACCCGGGGUCACAAUCGAGAGGGCGAGGAGUUCAUCCGCAACAUCUUUCACCUUGUGAUGCCUUUGUUUUCAGGCCGGGAGAGGUCUCAGCUCUGCUUCUCUUGGUUACGGUACGAGAUCGAGAAGGUCAUUUGGUGUCUGCACACUAAAAACAAGAAGAGGCUAAAGUCACAGGGAAAGAACUGCAAGAAACUAGCCAAAAAUCUCCUGAAGGAGCCAGAAAACCGCAACAGUUUUUGCCUCUGGAAGCAGUACGCACAUCUGGAGUGGCUGCUUGGCAACACCGAGGACGCCAGGAAGGUGUUCGAUGCGGCUCUCAGCAUGGCGGGGGGCAGAGACCUGAGGGACCGUGAGCUGUGUGAGCUUGGCCUCCUCUACGCCGGCCUGGAGGCGGAGCUGUUGCCGGACCCGAGAGGGGCCGCCACGGCACGAGCCAUUCACGUACUGACCAGGCUGACGGAGCAGGGGCCCUGCGGGCCCUACUCCGGGCAGGCGCUGGCUGUUCACAUCUUGAAAGCUCGGAAGGCGUACGAACACGCGCUGCAGGACUGUUUGGGCGACAGCUGUGUGUCUGCUCCGGCUCCCAGCAACUCCUUCGACCGCCUGACUAGCCUGGUGAAAUGCUUCAUGCUCUUUCAGUACUUGACCGUAGGGAUCGACGCGGCCGUGCGGGUGUACGAGCAGGUGCUCGCAAAACUGAAGGGCUCUGUUCCCCCAGGGGGCUCUGACCCGGAGGACGGUGCCCGCGCCCAGGGCCCCCACGGUGCGCUGGAGGCCGUGAUGCUGAUGCACACGAGCCUGCUCAGGUUCCACACGAAAGUCAGCCUUUACCCCCUGGCUCCUCUGCGACAGGCUCUCUCCGAGGCGUUAAGGUUGUACCCAGGCAACCAGGUGCUUUGGCGGGCAUACGUGCAGAUUCAGAGCAGGUCCCACACAGCCAGUGAGACCAGAAGAUUUUUCGACGCGGUCACCAGGUCUACCAAACUCUUGGAGCCUUGGUUGUUUGCGAUCGAGGCCGAGAAAAUGAGGAAGAGACUGGUGGAAAGUGUUCAGAGGGUAGAUGGUAGAGAGGUCCACGCCACAAUUCCCGAGACCGGCUUGACACAUCGCAUCAGAGCCCUGUUUGAAAAUGCGUUGCGGAGCGACAACGGCAGCCAGUGCCCCUUACUGUGGAGGAUGUACCUGAAUUUUUUGGUUUCCUUAGGAAACAAAGAAAGGAGCAAAGGCAUGUUCUACAAAGCACUUCAGAAUUGUCCCUGGGCAAAGGUGCUGUACCUGGACGCCGUGGAGCACUUCCCCGAAGAGAUGCAAGAGGUCCUGGACCUGAUGACGGAGAAGGAGCUCCGGGUGCGCCUGCCCGUCGAGGAGCUGGCGCUUCUGCUGGAGGACUAGACCAGGAGAGAACGGGCCCUGCCUUCCGGGCCUCUCGCCUACCCCGCCCCCAACCCCCCCACCGGAGCCGGGAUGCACAGGACGGGGACACGUGCGUGUGAGCAUGUGUCACGAGACCUCCGCUUUUCAAGUUUCUUAAUUCUUAGUAAUUUGGGUCUGGGUUAUCAGUCUUUUACCUCUUGCACAUUGUUUGGAUGUGUGAAGGACACAAAACCAUUGUUUACAUAUUGUAUAUGUGAAUUUGUGUACGUAGGGAAGAAUCCUGCCAAGUGAAAACUAAACCCGUCGUGGCUGGCGUGCGGGAGGUCUGUUCCACUCCUCUGCCCGGCCACGAACGUUCCCCACUGGCACCCUUGGUGGUCCUGCCGUCGUGGUAAGAAAGGUCUGGUUUCUGAGCACUCGGACCUCUCCCCGCAGCUGGUGAGGAGAGCAGCUUUUGCCCUUAAGAGCCGUUUAAAACUUGGUGUUCUGGCCUCGCUCCCGUUUUAAAAGUUUCUCAUUAUUUGCCAGGCUCUUGAUGCCACCUCCCUUCUGUGGACCAGGAGCAUCACCUGGGGGCUUGUUAGAGGUGCAGCCUCCAGGGCCCACCUCAGCCCUUCUGAGUCAGGGCCCGCACUUGAACAGGACCCCCUGGGGACUUAGGUGCACCAAGUGUGGGGGGCACUGCCCAAAGGACCCCUGCGGCAGGGGAGUGUGCAGGCGGCCAUCUGACAAGUGCAGAGUGGAGCCAGCGCCUUCCCACCAAACCCACCCCUGCCUGGGGGCUGUGACACAGAGGCCCAGACCCAGACCUGCCAGGCCACAUUCUUGUUUUGAUUUCUGAGGGUAUGAAUGGAACGAAACGUAAAUAUCCACAUUCAGACCACUUUCUUCUGAAAAGGACACGCCUUGUAGUCAUUAUUAAGGACACUGAACUGGGAGGAAAUUGCUCUACCUUCCCUGAGGUCCUGCUCUAAGAGAAACGCGGACAGCUGCUGACUCUAUCCUGAUCUCUAGAACGGCUGAAGUUGUAUUUCUUUGGCAUCUCAUCCAGAGAAGCCCGUGUCGUGGAAGAGAAUCUUGCCUAGAAACCAGCGGACACUGGUUGGGGAGAAGGGCGGCGGGUCAGGGCACCCGAGGAAGGUGGCUGGCCAGCCAAGUGGACGCUUGCCUCGAUCUGCCCCGCUUCCUUCGCGGCUUCAAGACUGAACUGUUCAAGAGAGGGGAGAGGUGCCGGAAAUGGAUGAAGAAAGGGAGCCACGUUCCUGGGCCACAGCUGCCGUUACACUGGGAAACUUCGCGGCAACAGAGCACACGUCCAGUUCAUCUACCUACACUGAGGAGAGAGCAUGCGUUCUGGCUAAAUGGAAAUCUCCCCAUUUACUGCAUUUAUUGUCUCGCAACACUUGCCAAAAGUAAAACAACCCACACAACAUGAUGUGAUAAAACCACAAUCUCAGCACUAAGUUUCUAUCUGGUUAUGACCCUCAGGAUAUUUCAAAUGGUUCAGCAAAAAAGAAAGUGAACAAAAUGAUAAAGUAAAGAGGUAAAACGGUAACACUUGGUGAACUGAGGUGAUGGGUAUGUGGGCAUUUACUAUUGUUGCAACUUUUCUGAAGACUUCAAAUUUCCCAAAGCUGGUGCAAAAUUUAAAAACUCUCUCUAAAUUGAAGUUAGCGACAGAGACACUAACCUAGUUCUACAGAUGCCAACGAUACGCAGUUCAGUGCGGGCACCGGCGUGAAAAGGCCCCACACGCGCCGUCCCUACCUGACCGUGGCACUUAACCCUACCUGACAGAAACCCAGGUCCUCACAUACAAAGCAGGCUGGACACACACUCAGUGCUGCCGAGCCUCGCCCUAAUUCUGGUCAUCUGGGAAGAAACGUCCUCACGCGCACACACAGCUAAGAGGUACAGUCCAGCCCAGGUUCUCACCUUGAUGUCGGCCCCAGAGAGGUCAUCUUUAGCCAUGAUCAGGUCGUCCAGGGUCACAUCAUCGGCCAGCGUCAUCCUGCUUGUGUGGAUCUGAAAGAUGCGCCUCUUGGUCUUUUCAUCGGGCAGGGGGAACUCAAUUUUCCUGUCAAUGCGGCCUGCGGGUAUAAAAGGUUUCCAGUCACACCCCUGUGGCUCCCCCCAGGCUCCGCUGUGGCUCGGGAAGCCUGUCUCCUCACACCUGCAGUUUCAGAGGGAAACUUCCCUUGUGGGAAGGGUCCAAAUCUUGAAAAGUGAACACUGCUCUCUGUAAAUAUCCACGUCUGAAUUCAUCCCGUUUAAAAGAAAUCCUCUCUCCUCUGGUACCUUCAGAAACACACAAACUAGCUACUGCUGCUUUUGGUGCUACCCGAAUGCGAAAUUAACUGGAGCUACCAUAGGAGCUAUUUCUUCAGAAAAAAGAACAUUCGUUACGGGAAAGAGAAACGGUCACAACUUAAGACUGCGAUGAAAAGGGCCACGCUACACCUACUGCAUCAUGCUCUUAGCCACUACCUCAGUGGAACGCAGCUUUUGGGAAGUUAUUCUACCCUUCAAUAAUGUAUUUGCCUUGAUGUGUAUCACUUUUAAAUCCCCUGAAAGUGCACUUAAACACGAACACAUAUAAACACACUCAUUCUCCGUGAUGGGACAAAAGCAAAUCUGACCUGGUCUGAUAAGUGCUGGAUCCAAAGUUUCUAUUCGGUUUGUGGCCAUGAUAACUUUCACGUCACCCCUUGAAUCAAAUCCAUCCAACUGGUUCAACAGUUCCAACAUUGUUCGCUGGAUUUCUCUUUCACCACCGGAAUUUGAAUCGUAUCUUUGAAAAAGAAGAGAAGGGUUGAAAACCGAAGUGAUCUGCUGAAGGGGAAUUAUAAAAACACCUCUGAUGCCCUCAAUUCUAGCAACAAAAUCAGCACAGCCUCCCAACCACCACAUAAUCUUACUUAAACUGUAGAUGUUUUGUGCCUGAGAUGGCAUCAGUAAUUCAGAUUGCACGUUUGGUAUCUGAGCCCCCGACCCAACCAUGAGCUCCUGGAAAGCCUUGUGACAAUGGCUGUGUCCCCAGAGUGCAGAUGAUGCCUGGCUCAGAAUGGAAACUCAAGGCAUGGCUGCACACUAAUCUCCAGAUGGUCACAACUCCCGGGUGGUUGUCACCUGGCACCCCGGAGCAGAGCCUAAAGCAUCCACAGCCGCGUACAGAAGGAGACAAGGCAAACCCAUGUGCAGGCCACGCAGGCAGUGCUCCGUGAUCAUUCCCAGACAAGAGCUACAAGGUCUUUACCUCUAAAUGACACAAAGAGAAAAAUGUACCUUUUUGUUCCAAUGGCAUCAAUUUCAUCAAUAAACACGAUGGAUGGCGCGUGUUCUUCUGCAACUCGAAAUAACUCCCGAACGAGUUUGGGCCCAUCACCUAGGUACUUCUGAAUAAGUUCAGAGCCAACCACUCUUAGGAAAGUGGCUGAGGUUUGGUUUGCUACUGCUUUGGCUAAUAAGGUUUUACCUAUUUUAGGUUAGAAAAAAAGACAAAGUGAAAAAACCCUCAAGUUCUGUCUUAACUUGAAAACCCUGUCACUACCACCUAAAACGGGCAGAUCCCUCCGAUGAAAAGGCAUGCCGCCAUUCCAGUGUCUUGACAUUAUGUUCUCCAAGGCAGAUAAGAGGAAAUUCAGAACGUUCUGAUUAUUUUUAACCAUCUUCCUAAAGUCAUCAUCAUAGUGUCAGAAAAUACACUUUACUGGGUUAUUCGAACUUGCAUAGAAGUUGCAAGUUAUUAACCCGACGCAUGCCACCAGGGUUUGAGAUCCAAACUCUACUCUGAAACAAUCAGUGAUGGAAAAACGGCCUGAGAACCCUAGGUCUGACCUAAGGAAACACUCUUUAGCACCAGGCCUGCAGCCCCCGGGGCCACCCGAGGAGUCGUGGCUGUGCUGGCUGGGCUUCCCCGAGGCUCAGCUGAGACAGGGCCAGCUCCCAGUGAAACCCACAAAUGAUAGUUCAGACUUUUCUCAGUCUCUGUUGUGUCCUUGUGAGGAACUUCCUCUCACCAAUCUCAGGGAAGAUCUCAAACAUUUCCAGUCCUGCCCCGUUCCUUGAGAUUUCUAUUUCAGGUCAAAACCAAGAGAUCUGGCAGCCAUUGUGUGAAGUUUAGGGCUGGAAGACCUUGGCCCCUUUGAUGGUGAGUGAGGACAGGGGCACAGGGCCAAGCAGGAGCGUCAGGACAUGGUGGCAGCUAGAGCAGGGCUGGUAAAGGACCAACCUUAGGCCCGCGGGGGAAGGGGAGGAGGCUGCCGGGGAGUAACACGGAAGACUUAGUUCAAGUGGGAAGAAGGACGAGGCGCUAAGCUUUACUACAAGAUGUGGCCACGACAUCCUUGUGGUGAGACAGACAGAGGGCUUAAAGUGCGGAGACUCCCCGAGAGAACCGACUAGGGCUGGUGAACAGAAGACAAAAAGGACCUUUCUAAGUGGGUGGCAUCUUUCAGUCCAGAAACGGCCAAGGCCAGCUGCUGUGGCACUGCAGUAGCCAGAGGGCUCACCGAACCGGCUUCUUCCUCCUCCUGUCAGGCCCACCACCCUGUGCUUCACCCCAGCUCCUCAGAUCGGUCCCCAGCAGUGCACAUGCACCAAAGGAGGCCUCUCUUCCAGCCUCAGCCCUGUUGCCAGCUCACUCCCAGAGCGACCGCGGCCUUGGGCUAGUGGUCACUGGCCUCUCUGAUACUUGAUUUCCUGGGCUGUAAGAGGACAGGCUGCAGAAGCUCCAUGCCUCUGGAGCUCAUCUCCACUUGUCUCCCAGUCCCUCCACUGUGGGCGGUCCCCAGUCCUCUCAGGAUCCUCCUGGGAACGUGGUUUCCAUUCACUCAAAUAACUGUGCUUCCUCUGGAAUUUACACAGCGAUGUACUAAGUCCUGGACUGUACAACUUACUCAGGUCAACUAGUCGCACGGUGAACCAAAUAUAUGUGUGUUUAUCUUCAUCCACGUAUACAGUAUUAUAUUCAUUCGGUACCAGUGGACCAGAGAACGAACCUAAUCUGAACAGCACAGAAUAGGUUUUAAGUCAGCGGUUCCCCACCGUGGUUCUGAUGUCUGGCCACACACUCCAGAUGCAGAUCGGGAUUUUCAGGGUGGGACCAAACACUGGUAUUUUUUAAAGCUCCAGGGUGAUCCUAGUGUACAGCCGAGGUUGAGCAUCCUGGUUUAUUUCCUGUCUUAUAAAGUAUAUUUAAUAGACUCACACUAAUCCCGAAUCAUGAAUACUUGAAAGCCUUAUGUUUUACAGCAUGUAAAUGAGGUAUACAAGAGGAGUUCUAAGAAACUGUAAAUGCAUUCACACUGAGCAGGCAUUUGGGGUGGGGGCUGCCUACUGGUGUUCGUUUUUUGUUGCAAUUCCUACUACUGUUUUUAACACAUUAAGUCUGUUAAGUCUACAAUUUCAAGUCGGAGACAAUUCAGUUUCUAAGCAUCUACUAUACAGAUAAAUAUACUUUUGUGUAAUAGGUAUGUUUCCGUAUUUAUUCCAAAAACGUCCAAAAUGCCGCUUAGAGAACUUUGUUUUAAACUAAGGAAUUGUGGCAUCAUUACUCAAGAAUUAAUUAUAACAAGCUAAUACUGCAGCUCAGGAGAUCAGCUGAGUGCCCAGAGAGUGUCAAACACGGAGCAUACGUACCUGUGCCAGGUGGUCCAUAGAGAAUGACCCCUUUUGGGGGCUUUAUACCCAUCUCUUCAUAAUAUUCAGGAUGAGUGAGAGGAAGCUCCACAGAUUCCUACAGAAAACAAACACUGGUAAAAAUAAAACGCUUUCCUACUAAAAUUACCAGAUCCAUUAACCGGCGUCAAGAAUAUAGCUCACUUUCAACAAAAAUAAGCUAAAACCUCACUUACUACUGUUAGAGACACUGUGGGUGACUUCCUCUAGCAGCAAGGACACAUUGAAGAGGACCUCUGUCCCGCCUGAGCUGCCGCCCCCUGCCUAUUGCUCCCAAUUUCCCUCUAACUUUCCAGAAGCCAGCCUUGAGCAACAUUUAAUAAGCUCUUCCUGAGCAAAAGAACUUCAAGUGAAAAUACACCCUUUCCAUUUAAACUACAGACAGGAGCUGGGAUGAUUUUCUGAUUGCUGUUACACCAACGGACACACUGGCUAGAGAUCGAGCUGUCUGAGAGGUGCCGGGUGGAGACCGGGGACAGCUGUGCAUGACCUCCCUACAGACAAGACGCCGUGCAGGUGGCUGGCCCACAGCCAACCUGAAUGACCACUGCACUUCCCCCGACUCAUACUGUCCCCACAUCACUGGAGGUUUCCAGAUGGCCACAGCUGAAGUUAACACAGAUGGAAACAUUAUAUAUUCACACACACAAUAAACGCUGCAUAUAAAAAGGAUUAAGCUGCAGCUGCUGAAGCAACAAUCACCCAAUUUAUUUCCAUUACCUAACUCGGUAUUAACAACUACAAAAGAGCACACUGGCAAGCUCUGUUACUGUUUGAUCAGUACAGAAAAAACAAAAUAUGCAAAAUAACUCUAAGCACCCUAAAUGAGGCAGCAGUAAGAAAUCUAAAGUCUAAAAACCCAGAGCCCGUGCCUAGACCUACCUUAAUUUCCUGGAUUUGGUUGUCCAACCCCCCAAUAUCAGCAUAGGUUUCCUGGGGGGCCUUUUCUACUUUCAUCACCGUGACCAAGGGAUCCGUGUCAUCCAUGAGCACCCCUAUGACGGCAUGUACCUACAGAGAACGUUAAGUUUUACUGCAGGGACGUGAGGUUUACACAAUCCAUUUACAACAGUGCAAUGCCAGUCACCAGAACGGCACGAAUAGGCGGAUCUGAGAGGAAGGAGAAAGCAUCCCUAAUUCGGGGCUUCGAGACUGGCAACUUGCCUUGUGGUUGAGCAGGACCGAACAGCCUGGCUCCAGCAGGUCCUUGUCUACAAAGGAGAGAAUGCUGACGUAGUGUUCUGAGCCCACAGACGUGGACACGAUGGCGUGAUUGUCAUCAAUGAUCUCUUCCAAUGUUCCUACCGACAUCGGGGUCCCCCUCAGAUCAUCCACCUUUGAUCUCUCCUCCUAUGUAAGAGUAUGCCACGAAGGAAAAGCGGGUUAGACCUAAAAAGUAGACAAUGCUGACAGUUUUACUAGAGUUACUAGAUUUUACUACGUUUACAAAGCAGGUGGUGCUUUUAAAAGGCAGCUAAUUUAUGAUUCAUAAGAGCCUGCACAGGUCAACUGCUUGAAUUUCACUUAUUCACUGAAUUCUAUUUAAUAACUAAAACCGUCAAUUUGUAAAAUCAAAGUUACAGUAAUUUCUCAGUUUACCUCUUGCUUUUCUUCUAAAGGCUUCAUUUGUUCCUGAUUUCUAAUGAAUUCUUCCUCCAUGAGAAGAUAGUCUUUAAUUCUCUCUAACUUCAGUAAUUUUAAGCGGCACUGAGUGUGAGGUGUCACUGUAAUUGAAAAAGUUUUAUUGUA